GGGGAAGGGUAGCUUGCUACCUGACCUAGCGGCGGACGGGUGAGUAAUGCUUAGGAAUCUGCCUAUUAGUGGGGGACAACAUUCCGAAAGGAAUGCUAAUACCGCAUACGCCCUACGGGGGAAAGCAGGGGAUCUUCGGACCUUGCGCUAAUAGAUGAGCCUAAGUCAGAUUAGCUAGUUGGUGGGGUAAAGGCCUACCAAGGCGACGAUCUGUAGCGGGUCUGAGAGGAUGAUCCGCCACACUGGGACUGAGACACGGCCCAGACCCCUACGGGAGGCAGCAGUGGGGAAUAUUGGACAAUGGGCGAAAGCCUGAUCCAGCCAUGCCGCGUGUGUGAAGAAGCCUUUUGGUUGUAAAGCACUUUAAGCGAGGAGGAGGCUACUGAGAUUAAUACUCUUGGAUAGUGGACGUUACUCGCAGAAUAAGCACCGGCUACUCUGUGCCACAGCCGCGGUAAUACAGAGGGUGCGAGCGUUAAUCGGAUUUACUGGGCGUAAAG
rnacentral:rRNA from 1 species